rnacentral:rRNA from 1 species
UACGAAGGGGGCUAGCGUUGUUCGGAAUGACUGGGCGUAAAGGGCGCGUAGGCGGCGCAUCAAGUCGGGCGUGAAAGCCCCGGGCUCAACCUGGGAACUGCGUUCGAGACUGGUGUGCUAGAGUUCGGGAGAGGAGAGUGGAAUUCCCAGUGUAGAGGUGAAAUUCGUAGAUAUUGGGAAGAACACCAAUGGCGAAGGCAGCUCUCUGGACCGAUACUGACGCUGAGGCGCGAAAGCGUGGGGAGCAAAC